CUGGCCUUUCGAUAUAUAGAGUUUGGUUGUAGCUGGCUCCUAAUUAACUUGGGGGCAUGUGCACACCUUUCUCUUUCAUCCCAUACACACCUGUGCACCUGUGAGACAGAUGUUUUGUGGGGGGGAAGGAACUUUAUUGGACCUUCUACUCCCCCUUGACUUCUGUCUACUUAAUUCAUAUAAACUCAAUUUAUUUUAAAACGGAUGUAAUGGAUGUAACACAUCUAAUACUAAGUUUCAACAACGGAUCUCUUGGCUCUCGCAUCGAUGAAGAACGCAGCGAAAUGCGAUAAGUAAUGUGAAUUGCAGAAUUCAGUGAAUCAUCGAAUCUUUGAACGCACCUUGCGCUCCUUGGUAUUCCUUGGAGCAUGCCUGUUUGAGUAUCAUGAAAUCUUCAAAGUCAAACCUUUUGUUAAUUCAAUUGGUUCUGCUUUGGUAUUGGAGGAUUAUUGCAGCUUCACACCUGCUCCUCUUUGUGCAUUAGCUGGAUCUCAGUGUUAUGCUUGGUUCCACUCAGCGUGAUAAGUUAUCUAUCGCUGAGGACACCCUGUUAAAAAGGGGUGGCCAAGGUAAAUGCAGAUGAACCGCUUCUAAUAGUCCAUUGACUUGGACAAUAUCUAAUUUAUGAUCUGAUCUCAAAUCAGGUAGGACUACCCGCUGAACUUAAGCAUAUCAAUAAGCGGAGGAAAUGAG
rnacentral:rRNA from 1 species